ACGCGAUUAAAUAGCAAUACCGGAAAUCUGUUGUUCGAACGGUUUUAUUGUGACGGCGGCCCGCGGAAACGGCCGUCGGAUUCCCACGCGGUUUCGUCAAACGAAUAACCGAACGGGUUUUUUUUUUCUGUCGUUGUGUUUUCCGCGAUAUUUUCCGAAAUUUCGCGAUUUUUCCGCCGGUGAUAUUUCGCCUGAAAUAAUACGUGCCCGACACUAAUUGCAACCGAACAAAUGCGGCUGUCUUACACCGGCCCACUCUACGUGCACUACCCUGCGCACUCGCGUCCGUUUUAACGGUUUACAGAGCUCCCCGGUCAGAAUCGCGUUUCGUUUGAUAACAUUUACCAUUGUUGUGUUCAGCGUUCGACUAGUAUCAAUCGCCGUGUACCCUAUGCACGUGGCGCGAAGUACAAUAUGUUUCAUUACACUUAUGUUUGCUCGGAGGGCUGGCCUUAAAGACCGUUAACCUUUUAAAAGAAAUUAUUUCAACCGCAGUGGAGUCACAGACAAUCGCGCAGAGGCGCAUACCCGUGAGCGAAGAAAAUUGCUUUGUAAGUUCAAAAAUGUCAAAUAUUGUAAGUACAUGGCGAGGACGUCACUGACCUAUAAUUCGCCCGCAGGAACCCGCGAUGUUUUAUCGACCGAUACAAUACAAUGUGAUAUUAUAAAUUUACACGUUCCGGAGGAGACCUUUAUCGUCGGCGCAUCGUACACCAUAACGUUAUUUAGAU